rnacentral:tRNA from 3 species
GGUCCUAUAGCUCAGUUGGUUAGAGCACCUGACUCAUAAUCAGGUGGUCCCAGGUUCGAGUCCUGGUGGGACCA